CCUACGGGGCUGCAGUGGGGAAUUUUGGACAAUGGGGGCAACCCUGAUCCAGCCAUGCCGCGUGCGGGAAGAAGGCCUUCGGGUUGUAAACCGCUUUUGUCAGGGAAGAAAUCUUCCGAGCUAAUACCUUGGGAGGAUGACGGUACCUGAAGAAUAAGCACCGGCUAACUACGUGCCAGCAGCCGCGGUAAUACGUAGGGUGCAAGCGUUGAUCGGAAUUCCUGGGCAGACAGCGGUGCCAGACGGGUGUGAAAUCCCCGGGCUUAACCUGGGAACGGCACUUGUGACUGUACGGCUGGAGUACGGCAGAGGGGGAUGGAAUUCCGCGUGUAGCAGUGAAAUGCGUAGAUAUGCGGAGGAACACCGAUGGCGAAGGCAGUCCCCUGGGCCUGUACUGACGCUCAUGCACGAAAGCGUGGGGAGCAAACAGGAUUAGAUACCCUUGUAGUC
rnacentral:rRNA from 1 species